rnacentral:lncRNA from 1 species
GGGGGGGGGGAAGAAUGGGGACCCUUCCUGCUGCCCGCUCUGGGCUCCUGCUCAUUUAAGGCAAUGGUUUCCCUGCUUUAUCUUCCAUCAGAAUACCCCUCCCUGCCUUGCACGCACGUGUGUAUGGGGUGGGGGUGGGGGUGGGGCUCUUCCUUCUCUCCCCUGUGCCCCACAGCACGUGAGAACAGGUGAGCUGUUUGGAUCAGGGCUAGAUCCCCGUCGCCCAGGCCUGCACAGGUCUGGCUCGGAACAGGCUCUCCAUAUUUGCGGAAUGAAUAAAUAAAUGAAUGAAUGGGGCACCUCCUCCAAGAAGCCGUCCCAGCCCCCAGGUGAGGAGAGGUCUCCUUGCCACACACCCCGGACCUUAUGGCACUUCAUGCAACAGCGUCUGACAAUUCCCUGGGCUUCAGGUGGGCACGUCCUGCAGGAAGAGAAGCCCCUUCAAGGCCAGUUCCACAGCUGCCUUAUUUAUGGCCACAUCCCCAGCCACGGCUCCCAGCCCAACACUUAGCAGGUCCCCAAUAAACGCUCCAGAACAGAUGGCCAAAUGGAUAUGGGUGUGUGGUGUGAACACAACAGGGGUGGGCUUUGGGGGAGCCCAGGAUUCACUGCCCAGUUUUCUGAUCACCCGGGGCAUCUAUCCUAUAAGCAGGUUCCCCCCUGCCCCUCGCCGACCCGUGGCAGUGAACCAGCUGGUCCUUGGGGCAUCGGAUGGCCCUUGGUUCUUGCUUUGCUUCCACGACCAACCCGGGUGGUCACCCAGAUCUCCGCGGGGGGGCAGCCACCCCUCCAAACAUUGCUGGGCACUGGCCAGAGGCGGAGUCUAGACAUAGUCGGAUGUGCUCCUAUCCAAGAGGAACCGGGUCCCCUCCCCAGAUUCUUUGGAGAGACAGAGGAGUCCACGGCCCAGCGCCCACGAGGGGCGGCCAGGUGGAACCAGCCAGGUGUCCUUGACUCCAUUCUAGGCUGCUUUAUGGGGGUGUGUCCUGCGCAGGCAUCCAGGAGCCGGGUUUAAUUCUCUACCGCUGCCAUCCUGAAAUUCUUCAUACUUUAAAAUGUAUUUAUUUAUUUAUAUUUCCUUUUUUGGCUGCGCUGAGGCUUAUGGAGUUCCCGGGCCAGGGGCCAGGGAUCAGAUUCGAGCCGCAGUUGCGACCUAAGCCGCAGCUGCACCCAAGCGAGGUCUUUACCCCAUUGUGACAGGCUGGGGAUCCAAGCUGCAUUCUAGGGCUCCCGAGAUGCCGCUGAUCUCCUCGCCACAGUGGGAAACACCCCUAAAUUCUUCAUCCUUUUUGAGCAGAACUGGGCAUUUCCACUUUGGACUGGGCCCCACUCAUUAUGAAGCUGGUCUUGGUUGUCAGGGUGGACGUUUCACGGCGGGGGGUAAAGGAGGAGGGGUCUCACUAGCAGGUGUGCUGGGGGGCUACGGCCCUUGGCAAUGGCAGGAACUGGCCAGAGAUGUGGCUUUACUGGAAAUGGCCUCAUUCAAAUGGGAAAGUGGCUUAAAAAGAAUCUCAUGUGGCUUCUAAAGAGUUAGCUUUUAGGCUCCACUGCGUGGGUGUUGGGCCAGCUCUGGGUCCUUCGGGAAAGAAACCGCAAAAGCCACUCGCAGGAAGCACAUCCGGCGGAUGCUCCACCUUCAUCUCGCGGCCUCGCCCCUCUCCCUGCGGCAGGACCAAGACGCACCCUGGCCUUGGCGGGCAAGGGUUUGCGGCCCCGCAUCCUUCCAGCAAAACAGGCAGAACCAAAGAGACAAAACCCUUGUCCGCAGGGGUUUGCACUCGUGGGAAGAAAGACCAGGCGAAGAAAUUACGACAGACAGGGAGGUUGGAGCAGGCAGUGGGCUUCGGGGUGGAGGGCGGCCUUUUAGAAAAGCCCUGAUGGCCAGUGGAACAAGGUGGGGCCCCUGCCUUGCAGGCCACGUCCACUUCUCCUCUGCCUGCAGAGUCCCGGGCUCGGCCAGCCUGGCCUCGGCCUUCAGCCACUUCAAUCUGUCCCCUGACCCGACAGACGGGCAGAAAACCGUGCGGGAAGACAAAUGAGGAUGCCUUGAAAAAGGCACCUCCCCACCCGCCCCCCUGCUCCCCCAGGGGCUUCCAGGCAGGGAAGGAGCAGGGCUGGGCCCUGACGCUGACCUCGUUUUGCUCUCUGGUACCUUCUCCCAUCCCCAGCAUCUGCGGCCUGCCUCCGUCCUCUCAUCAAAAUCAAAUGACCGAGAUGAGGCAGAGACAGGUGGGCUGGGACCACCUCCCCUUCGAUUCCAAAUCCAGGGUCAAAGGCACAGAUGGCGGUCCCCAUUUUCUACCGCUUUUCUCGCUUUCCAGAACUGUCUCCUCAGCUUCAUCUUAUUUUUGCUAAAGUGCCACGUGGGAAAGCUGUGACACCGGGCCACACAUCCUCUGAGUCAAUAUUGUGUGCGUAGAUGCUGGGAGGUGACCUUGCAUCAGCCUCCUGCCACCCCCACAAGUCCCCUGGAUUAUCCAGAAGAGCCCUUCACAGGGUAGGUCUCACUAUGCCACCAGCUAGCGACUGGGCCAAACGGAGAUGGGGGAAAAUUCCCAUGACGUUAACUCACUGGGUAUCGCACCUGCUUUUCCUCCCUGGCUGGAGGAUUGGGAGACGUCAGAAAACAAUUACAGCGACAAGAGCCACAAAACGGCCACCCCAGGUCCAAGGGUAGAACGACGAGAAGGCAGAGGACAGGACGGGCAGCCCCGAAACUUUAUAAAUAAGAGGGGCCUCUCAUGAAACCAGGCCUGCAGAGCCCCGCACAAGGCUUACAAGUUGUGACUGGUUCCGCACCUGGGUCCCUCGGCCACCCCCUCCUCUGGAUUCCGGAGCAGCCCUACUCUGCCUCCCUGCCCGGCUUCCCACUGUCCACACUGUAGCCAAAGCUGGUGCGAGCAUCCUUUGUAGAGCGAUUUGGGCAAGUGUCAGGGCAUAGUCUGCUAGAGCCCCACCUGUGCGCACCUUUGACCCGGCAAGUUCCUUCCCGACAGAUGCUCCCAUGUGUUCACACAAAAACGCACACAGCACACCCAGAGGCGCUCUGCUCCCAAGAGCCCCCACAGUGGCCUGUCCAAGUGGCAUGAAAUGAACGCGCCACAUGACACAUGGGUUACAAGGACAGGGCUCACAGCACACGCUGAGCCAAAGACUUAGACACGGCAGCAUUCGCUGCCCCCCUGUGCUGGUACAUGACUCAAAACCAGGCAAAAAUCCCUGUGGCGCUGGAAGGUGUGGGAGAAGCUGGGGUUGGGGGGGGGGACUGGAAGAGGUCAGGAAGAGGACCUGCUGUCACAGUCUUUUUCUUUCCGGAGCUAGUUACACGGGUGCGCUCCUUUUACAAAAACCCCUUGCGUUGUACUGCUGGGGACGGAACCAGCCCCAAGUUCAUGUGCUGAAGCCCUACGCCCCAGGGUGACUGGACUUGGAGGCAGAGCUUUUAAGGAGGUAACUGAGGUUAAAUGAGCUCAUUAACCGUAAGGGAGGGGAUCCAGUCCGUAGGGACAUCAGAGAGACACCAGAGAUCUCUCUGCACAAACAGAGCAAAGGCCAUGUGAGGACACAGCAAGAGGGCAGCUGUCUGC